UACGUAGGGACCAAGCGUUGUUCGGAUUUACUGGGCGUAAAGGGCGCGUAGGCGGCCUGACAAGUCACUUGUGAAAUCUCCGGGCUUAACUCGGAACGGCCAAGUGAAACUGUCAAGCUAGAGUGCAGAAGGGGCAAUCGGAAUUCUUGGUGUAGCGGUGAAAUGCGUAGAUAUCAAGAGGAACACCUGAGGUGAAGACGGGUUGCUGGGCUGACACUGACGCUGAGGCGCGAAAGCCAGGGGAGCAAACGGG
rnacentral:rRNA from 1 species